ACUGCGCAAACGCUAAGGCCCGCCCCUCUCAAGUAACACCCAACAGCACGGCGCAAGCGCAGUGUGUCACCGGGCUUGCACGGGAGCGAGCGGAGCUUUAGGGAUCUCGAGUGUCAGCGGCUCUGAGGCCACGAAUCAAAUAGGCCGGCGCGGCGGAUGUGCGUCGCGGACCAGGAGUUGGGAGUGCAGGGGAACACCAAUAAAAAGUUGGUGCGGUGCCUCCUUGAUUCAAGCCGCCGCUGUUCGGUUUUUCCUCCCCUUUCUAUUGUGUGUGAUUCACAACAAAGGAACUGCCCAGAAUGCCUUGUGGUUAGCCCUGAGGCGCACGCGCAUUCUUAACGCCUGGUGACGAUGCAUGUUAGAUAGAGUAGUUUAUGAGGUGUGCUGAUUUGUGGGAACGGCGACUGACAUUACUAAGUACCAUGUGUGUUUUAUUACAGCCUCACGGACCUGAACAUCAUCAGCCUUUGAACAUUGAAGCAAAGAACGCUGUCCACCAUGGAGAGAAACCAUAUGUGUGUCCUGUGUGUGGACGAGGCUUCAGCCAAUCAUCUAGCCUGUCAAGACAUGAGCGCAGUCACACUGGGAAUAAACCCUGUAAAUGUGGAGAUUGUGAGAAGGAAUUCAGUUAUCCUUAUGAGCUGGAAACUCAUCGGCGUAUUCACACUGGAGAGAGGCCAUUUACCUGCUGUAUAUGUGGGAAGGGAUUUAUUCAGUCAUCUGCCUUAUUGACCCACCAACGUGCUCAUACCGGGGAGAGGCCAUUUGUCUGCUCUGUGUGUGGGAAGGGAUUCACUCAAUCACCCCAUCUCACUGAACAUAAACUCACGCACUCUGAUAAGAGACCAUUUCAAUGCUCUGACUGUGAAAAAAGAUUUAAAAGCAAAAAGGAUCUGCUGACACACCAGCGAGUUCACACUUGGGCGAGGCCGUUCACCUGCUCAGUGUGUGGGAAGGGAUUCAUUGAUUCAUCCCACCUAUUGCGACAUCAACAAACACACACUGGGGAGAGGCCAUUCACCUGCUCUGUGUGUGGGAAGGGAUUUUCUCAGUCAUCCCACCUCAUUGAACAUGAACUUGUUCAUUCUGAUCAGAGACCUUUUCAGUGUUCUGAAUGUGAGAAAAGAUUUAAAAGUAAGAGGUACCUACUGAAGCACCAACGCACCCACAGUGGGCAGAAGCGUUUCACCUGCUCCCUCUGUGGGAAAGGAUUCACUCAGUCAUCUGAUCUGCUGAGACACCAUCAACUUCACCUGUGACUGCAGGGUUGGAUUCUGCUGUUCAUGUUGCUGUUGUUCAUGUCUAGGGUUGAACUGUGUUUGUUCGUACUGAUGUUGAUAAUUUGUUUAACUGGCAUGGAAUUUACUAUUCUGAGUAAAUUAGGAAACAUUGUUUAAAGACAUUGACCCAGAUAUUCUGAUGGACAAAUAGUUUUAGCAGAGUAAACUGAAGUUGUGUAUCAGUGACUCUAGAGGAGAUGUACAGGAAAUUGAAAAUUCCAAUGCAGUUUUCUUGUGUCUAGAAUCCUUUGAUGAGAACCUUAAAGUUUGAGAAUUCUGACAGUUCUAUCUCACUUCAGCUCAAUUGCUAUCCAGGCAAAGGUAGAAAAUGAAAAAGCUGAAACUUUGACUCUCUGUUAAUUUCUUACCAGUGACACCCCCUCAGAUUCCUUACAAUCCCCACUCCUGACCUGACCGUAUCAGACCAGGCAACACCCUCCCUACCCCACACUCAACAUUCUCACCUCACCUGACCUGACACCACUCCAACCUACUGUAAGCACUCAUCAUUUUACAUAUUACCUAUGUCCCACAUUCACUUGGCACCCUAACUCCCUCACCCAACUAUCAGCAUUCCCCACCUAUCACCCUACAACUGCUGCCAACCUUUCUCACUUAUUUAGUUUUUCGCAGAACUGUCAAGUCUCUGCUGGAAGCUUAAAACUCAGAAUACAGCACUCAGCAGUUUAAAAAGGUGCAUGAUUUCUAUGAUGUUCUUCUAUGCUGUUGAAUUCGAGGAUUCCUGGAAAGAUUCAUCAUUGGAGGCCCCUGUCCAGGAGACUACAGCACCAGAACAGAUGGAGGAGUUCACAGGAGCCUGUUGACUGCUCGUGCAUUUGUGCCCGGACUUUUGUUUAGGCUCAGAAAAGACUUAACCUGGAUACUUUUCCGUCUUCUAAAUGCACAUCGGAUCCAUUUGUCCAGGAUUUUUGUCUUUUCACAAUACAUUUGCACAGCAUUGUGAACCAGGAUGAACCUCAUGAGGACUGGCGGUGUGGGCGCAGGACUAAUAGCAGACCCAUCUUGGUUCUCCAACCACAAUUGCUCAGCUCCCAAAUUUCAUUCAGCAUCCAUCCCUAUGAGUCUCACCCAAAAUGCCCCUAGCAAAUCCAUGGCUACUUGCCCAGGUGUCAGUGUGUUCAGUCUUCAAAAGCCAUGGCAAUAGUAACAGGAAUUACUGACAAUCAUUGAAACAGAAUUAAACUUCUAAUAAUCUAUGAAAACAUUGAAUUCAGACACUGUAAUUAAUACUGAGAAAAGCUGCCCAGUGCAAAAAACAUUUAACAAAGGAAAGUGAGCAUUGGUCCUACAGAAAGUGAGAUGGAUAUUUAAUAAUCAAUGAAAAAUACAGAGAUUACAGAUGAAUUCAACAGAUAUUUUGCUUCAUCUUCAUUAUAGGGGAUACAAAUAACACUCCAGAAGCAGCAAUACCUCAAAGCAGAAGGCAAAGAGGAACUUGUAAAAUCAUAAUUACCAGAGAAGUAGUAUUUGAGUACAUUGUUAGAGGUGCAGGCUGACAAGUUCCUGGGUCGUGAUGGAUCUUAUAAGAAGUGGUUCAUGAGAUAGUCAAUGAAUUCGUUUUAAUUCUCCAAAACUAUAGAUUCAGGCAAGGUUCCAUUUGAUUAGAAAAUAGAAAAUAAAUUCCGUUUAUUUAUAAAGGGAGGGAGACAGAAAACUGGAAACUACAAGCCAGUUAGCUUAAUAUGGGGCAUAAGGAAAAUGCUAUAAUCUGUUAUGAAAGAUGUUAUCACAGGGCACUUAAGUUCAAAGUAAUUUGGCAGAGUCAGUAUGAGUUACUAAAAGGGAAAUCACGUGAGAACUCACAAUGUAGUAAUGAUAAAUCAGUAGAUGUACUGUAUAUAAAUUUCCAGAAGACAUUUGAUGAUGUGUGACAUCAAAGGUUAUUGUGGAAUAUAAAUGCCCAUGGUGUAAGAAGGAGCAUAUUGACAUGGACAGAAGAUUGGCUGGCUAACAGAAGCAGAUGGUAGGCAUAAAUGGAUCUUUUUCACCUUGGCAAGGUGUGACUACUGGUGUGCCUCAGGGAUCAGCAUUGUGACCUCAACUUAUUCUCAGUGACUCUGAUGAAAGGACUCAAGGUAUGAUUGUUCAUGACAUAAUAGUAGAUAGCAAAGUAAGUUGUAAAGAGGACAUGAGGCUAUGAAAAGAAAGAGUUUUGUUAAGUGAGUGGCCAAAGAUCUGGCAAAUCUGAUAUAUGUGAAAUUGACCAUUUUGCAGGAUAAAUUAAAAAAAAACAUAAAUAGUGAGAGAUUGAAAGCUGUAACAUGGAGAGAAAUCUUGUGUGUUCCUAUGCAUGAAUCACAAAAGACUGAUGAGCUGGUAAAACAAAUAAUUAGGAAAGUUAAUAGAAUGUUAUGGUUUAUUGCAAAGAGAAUUGAAUACAAAAGUAGAAACAUUAUGCUUAAUUUGUACAGGGCACUGGUA